AGAGUUUGAUCCAGGCUCAGGAUAAACGCUGGCGGCGUGCCUAAUACAUGCAAGUCGAACGAGGAGUUUUUGUAGCAAUACGGAAACUUCCUAGUGGCGAAUGGGUGAGUAACGCGUUGGUGACCUGCCCCAAAGAGAGGAAUAACUCCGGGAAACUGGAGCUAAUACCUCAUGUGGUUACCAGGGUUAGAGACCUGGUAUCUGAAGGAGUAAUCCGCUUUGGGAGGGACCUGCGUCCCAUCAGCUAGUUGGUAGGGUAACGGCCUACCAAGGCUACGACGGGUAGGGGGCCUGAGAGGGUGGCCCCCCACACUGGAACUGAAACACGGUCCAGACACCUACGGGUGGCAGCAGUAGGGAAUAUUGCACAAUGGGCGAAAGCCUGAUGCAGCAACGCCGCGUGAACGAUGAAGACCUUCGGGUUGUAAAGUUCUUUACUGAAGGACGAGGAAGGACGGUACUUCAGGAAUAAGGAUCGGCUAACUACGUGCCAGCAGCCGCGGUAAUACGUAGGAUCCGAGCGUUAUCCGAAUUUACUGGGCGUAAAGCGCGUGCAGGCGGUUUGGUAAGUUGGAUGUGAAAGCUCCCGGCUCAACUGGGAGAGGCUGUUCAAUACUGCCAGACUUGAGGACGGUAGAGGGAGGUAGAAUUCCCGGUGUAGUAGUGAAAUGCGUAGAUAUCGGGAGGAAUACCAGUGGCGAAGGCGGCCUCCUGGACCGUUCCUGACGCUCAGACGCGAAAGCUAGGGGAGCGAACGGGAUUAGAAACCCCGGUAGUCCUAGCUGUAAACGAUGCGAACUUGGUGUUGGUGGGGUAAAAUCCGCCGGUGCCGAAGCUAACGCGAUAAGUUCGCCGCCUGGGGACUACGGCCGCAAGGUUAAAACUCAAAGGAAUUGACGGGGCCCCGCACAAGCAGCGGAGCGUGUGGUUUAAUUCGUCUACGCGAAAAACCUUACCCGGGUUUGACAUAUAGGUAGUAGGGAUUCGAGAGAUGACCGACCCUUCGGGGAGCCUAUACAGGUGCUGCAUGGCUGUCGUCAGCUCGUGCCGUGAGGUGUCCGGUUAAGUCCGGUAACAAGCGCAACCCUCGCUGUAUGUUACAAGUGUCAUACAGGACUGCCGGUAUCAAGCCGGAGGAAGGCGGGGAUGACGUCAAGUCAGCAUGGCCUUUAUAUCCGGGGCUACACACACGCUACAAUGGCCAAUACAAUGGGUCGCAAAGCCGCGAGGUGGAGCCAAUCCCCAAAAUUGGUCUCAGUUCAGACUGCAGGCUGCAACCCGCCUGCACGAAGCCGGAGUUGCUAGUAAACGCGCGUCAGCAUUAGUGCGUUGAAUACGUUCCCGGGGCUUGUACACACCGCCCGUCACGUCAUGGGAGCUGGUAACACCUGAAGCCGGUAUCCUAACCCGUAAGGGAGGGAGCUGUCGGAGGUGGGACUGGUGACUGGGACGAAGUCGUAACAAGGUA
rnacentral:rRNA from 1 species